rnacentral:rRNA from 1 species
CCUACGGGUGGCAGCAGUGAGGAAUAUUGGUCAAUGGACGCGAGUCUGAACCAGCCAAGCCGCGUGCAGGAAGACGGCGCUAUGCGUUGUAAACUUCUUUUGUACGGGGAUAAACGCAGAUACGUGUAUCUUUCUGAAUGUAUCGUACGAAUAAGCAUCGGCUAACUCCGUGCCAGCAGCCGCGGUAAUACGGAGGAUUCAAGCGUUAUCCGGAUUUAUUGGGUUUAAAGGGUGCGUAGGCGGUCGGAGAAGUUAGAGGUGAAAUCCCGAGGCUCAACCUCGGAAUUGCCUAUGAUACUGUUCGGCUAGAGAGUAGUGGAGGUAGGCGGAAUGCAUGGUGUAGCGGUGAAAUGCUUAGAGAUCACACAGAACACCGAUUGCGAAGGCAGCUUACCAAGCUACUUCUGACGCUGAUGCGCGAAAGCGUGGGGAGCAAACAGGAUUAGAUACCCGGGUAGUC